rnacentral:rRNA from 1 species
AUACGGAGGGUGCAAGCGUUAUCCGGAAUCAUUGGGUUUAAAGGGUCCGCAGGCGGUCAAUUAAGUCAGAGGUGAAAGCCCAUCGCUCAACGAUGGAACUGCCUUUGAUACUGGUUGACUUGAGUUAUACGGAAGUAGAUAGAAUAAGUAGUGUAGCGGUGAAAUGCAUAGAUAUUACUUAGAAUACCGAUUGCGAAGGCAGUCUACUACGUAUAUACUGACGCUGAGGGACGAAAGCGUGGGGAGCGAACAGGAUUAGAAACCCCAGUAGUCC